CUCAAGCUCUCUCUGUCAAACAACAAUAGGGAAUAAAAGCAACGGAUUUGUGUUAAGCUCCGGGUCUCUACCAUUGUUGUCGAUAGAUUGACGUUGGGCAUCCAUCUCUGAGCUUUCUAUUAUUAUUUUUAUCUCUAAUGUAACUGUUCUCUCUUCUCAACCAAUUUGAUACCAAAAAUCAAAUUCUUCUUUUUCCUCCUCAAGGUUCCAGUCUCAGGAGCUUAUCAACAAAAAAAAAUAAAAAUCUUGCACCCGCCACUUUCAUAAACCCUGAAGGUACAUUGGUUGAAGCUUUUUUAUUAUAAGCUUCCCUGUACAAGUAAAUUUGCUAUUUUUGACAUUAUGUACGCACGGCUGAAUGCUGAUGAAUCAAAUGGUGGUGACUCGUGAGUGAUCCUGACAUUUUUUGGCUCAUCUUCAUGAGGUUCGUUUUAUACAAUUUUAGCCCUUCAGUUUCAAGUGACAAAGAUGUAGGAUUAAAUGUACUUAAGAUUGUUGUAAUUGAAGCUCUCAAGCAUUAGUUUAGUUUUGAGUUAUUUCUGAAUAUAUUUUCUAGAGAGUUGUUUUAUCUGUUGAUUCAAUUCUGAUGAGGAUAUCUUUUAUUGUAUAGUCACAGGCUGCUGUUGUGUGUGUUGCUUAUCUUCUAUGAUCGAAUUUGAUUGUCAAUUAAUUUUCUAUACAAUUAAUAGAUAAAAUUGGUGUUUAUAUCUCUUUAAAGAUUUCUUUCUUCCCUAAAUAUUUCUUGUGGAAUAUCAGUAAUAGUGCUUUGUGGAAUUUGCAAGAAACUAAUGAAGCACCUCAAAUGAUGCUAAAUUAUAUAUAUAUGACACUGAUAUUCUGCUUCCAAUUAUCUAUAUCCAAGUUCCAUUUGUUCCCUUUGAUUUUCCUUUCAGUAUCUCCACCAUUUGCUCUUUGUUUGUUAUAAGGUUCUUCUGUGUUAUUUUUGGUUUUCUUCUAUUUACGUUUUACAUAAUGUGAGUUUUGAGCAAAAAGCUAUAUCAUAAUGACUUGUGUUUAUUUAAUUAUUUGUUGUGGUCAUACUGAAAGUCAAUCACUUCAUCUGUCUCUUUUUGUGAUCUGAAGGCCUGAAAAUCACACUAAAGACCGAUGACAUUAAAAGAGAAUUCAUGAAAUUAAAAAUUUAACAUUAAAGGAUAAAAAUUUAGAUGUGCUGUCAUUUAAUUUUGUUUUUAGAAUCUGUUGUAUAAUUCCCUUUCUUAAAUUACCUGAAUUGUUCUGCAAGUGAAGAUUAUUUUUUUUGGUAACAACUGUAAAAUAUUACCAUAACCACCCAAGAACGGAUACAAAUAAAGAGCACCUAAUUCUGAUAAUAGAGAACAGGCCUCCUACCAAACAUAAAACCAAUUACAUAACAAAUGUUGAAUAAAGUGUCUACAAUUUUUUUGCUUUCUUUGAACUACUAAGUGUAAUCUUUCAAUAAUUUCCUUAUUUAUCUGUGUUACUGCCUCCUUCGUAUGUACACGUUUGUCUGUAAACCUCCUCCAAUUCCUGGCACGCCAAGUGUGGUAUAUGAUAUCUCCACAGAUAGCUGCCAUGAUCUCCUUUUUAAUUGCUUCCGGUGAUUACCUUUUAUGUUUUCCAGGACCUUCAUGAUACUAAUAAUCUGCACUGGUAUUUCAGUCCAAUGGUGCAUAACUUGCCACACAGCUAAUGUCCAUUUGCAUUUCUCGAAUAGGUGAACAUUAGUCUCCAUUACUUUCUCAUCACAUAAACAACAUUCAGUGUCAUCAACCUGAAUAUUCAAUCUCAGCUUUCUCUCCUGUGUAAGAUUUCUAUUUCACUAGAGUAUUAUAUUAUUAAAAGAAUUAAUUAUUGAACAUAAAUUUGCUUCAUAGUCAAAGCACACCAGUAAAAAAGAGUUGGUAUCAAUGAAAACAAAAUUAUGACAUGAGAGAUUAGUACACUUGACUUGAACACAAGUUUCAAAAUAAACCAUGAAGAGAAAACAAAUAAAUAAUUAGCCAUCUUUAUAAUUCUAUACACAAAAUGGAGAUGAAAGUGUAGGUCAGAAAGACCACAGAUUACAGAACUAUGAUCACCAGUCAUCUUUCCUUCUCCGUUGGAUGGCAUUUUAGUUCACUUUUCUCCAUUCUUUUUACACACCUUAUCUCAGAAUCUCCCAUCAAAUUUAACUCUGUGUGUGUGGCGUACCUAGAAUCUAACAACAUCUUUUGACUAAAUACCAUCCUAAAUUACCCCUACAUUUAUACAGUGUGCUAUUGGAAGUUACUCACUUUAGGAAACAUGAAGUUCUUAUCUUUAAUCUAUCACUUACUUGGUUGUUUAAGUUAUUUUUAUUUUAUUGCACGGAGAGUUACUUACAUUUUGAAAAAUGUUGUUCUAAGCUUUUAACAAUUAUUUAUUUGGCGUUCACACUUUGUGAGUGCUCUCUUCAAAACGUGGAAAAAAUAUAUCCUAAAUAGCUUCUACGACAAUCGCAGUAAUGCAUCAAACAAUGACACUGUAGUUUAUCUGAAUUACUCACCUAAUCAAUUAAGAUCUUGACACACUUUCUACAGAUCUUUUAAGAUCCUAGAUGAAACAUAAGUAUCUUUAAAGUUAUAGCUCGCUAAUUACUAUUUUUUGCACUCAGUUUUAGAAUUCUUUAGUUGACGAUUGGUGUUUACUUGAUUUUUGAAGGUAUUUCAAAACAUCUCCCUGUUAUGUGUUUCCGGGAUAGCAAAGGUUGGCUACUAAGCUAGGUAUUGUAUCUCCAACACAAUUGAAAUGAUAGAUCAAGUUAGCUCUGCAAUAUUUACUAAAACUGUAAGUUCUUGAAAUCUUUUGGAUAUCUUUCAUCUUAAAUAUCAGUAGAUUUUCUUAAAUAUUUGUUCAAGGUUCUUCAUUCCUCCAACUGGCCGUGGUUUAGUGUUUAUGUGAUUAUACUUGUUGUCAUUGUUACAGUUCCUUACAUAUAUGCUCCGCAUUAUUUUGUUAAAAGUGUAGAUAGGUAAUAUAAUUAUUCUACAUCACUAUAGUGUAAGAGUAAGUAUGCUAACCAAAAGGGCACUGUGUGUAAUUGCAUCAGGGGCGUAAUAAUAAAAAUUUCUAUUAAUUCUAUUGUAUAGAAACAUGAAGAGCUAGGACGACCAAUGGCAUAACCAUAAAUAUACUCAAUAUUGAAGGGUAAUAUGGUCAUUAUACAACACUAAUUUUUUAGCAAUUAACAUGCGCCUCUUCUAUUUUCCUUCUAGAACAUUCUCUCUCUUCCUUCCAUGUUGCAAUUAAGAGAUGACUCAAGAAAAAGAAUUGGUAAAUUGAUCGGAUCUUUCCUAAACCUCCUCUCUCUAGACCUAAUAUGUGAUCUAUCUAUUUCAUAGACUUCUCUUGUGAUGCUACUAAAGCAGGAAUGGGUGGUGUAAAUGGUUUAAUUAUCGGUAUAUAUAAUCGGUUUAUACACAUAGGUAGCUUUAUGAACUUUAAAAAGGAUAUCUAGAAGGAUUGUAACAUGUCAUAUUCUACAAUUCUGAAGAGUAAGCAUGAUGAAUCUUUCUGAUUGAUAAAAAUGGCCUCGAGAGGGAUUGUAACAUGUCAUAUUUUUACAAUUGUGAAGAAUAAGCAUAUGUUGGAAUAUGAAUUUCAUAAAUUGUUGUUUCUUUCUGAUGAAUGUAGUAUAAUUGGUGCAGGUGAUUGACGGUUUAGUUCCAUUAACAGAGAUGUUCAAUUGCGUUAGUAAAACUUGAAAGGGAAUGACAAAGGAGCAUGCAUCGUACAUUAUGCAAUUAGGCAAGUUUGAUGUUGUCCCUCAACACAUUCAAAUCAGCUUGCCAAAAAGGAAGAAGCAGCAGUUGUUUAGUCAGUCAGCUUUCAAAUUUGGAUCCACGAACUUAAAAAUAGGUAUUUUUACUCAAUGAAGGGACUGCUCUUUGACAUCAUCUUGUCUUUUGGUGUUGCAAUUUCAGUUUGAUCUUUUAUCUUAAUUUUAGCCAUUAUUUUAAGAUUCUCUUUACAUUUUCCAACAUGGUUGAAGCGGUUAUAUUUUGACUAGCUUUCACUGCCAUAAAUUUCAUAGAGGCAAGUCAACAUGCCGGUUUUAUACUGAUUUGUUGUGAAUUUCAACCUCUUACUUGUUCUCCUAUGCUUGGUGGUUAAUUUCUUUAAAUUUUUUUACUCAACGGUUAGUCUCCCGUGGUUUCCACUCCAAGUCCACCAAUCCAACGUAAACUUGCCAACAUCGUAUUUCAUGAAACUUGUGUGCACUUACCAAACUACCCUGCCCCUUCGCCCUCAACCAUUAGCUCCCACGCCUAAUAACAAGGACAUCAUAGUAAAAUCACUUUGUUACCGUAAUCGAACAGACCCCAUAGAAUAUAGUUGGACUGGUUAUUUUUUUCUUUAACUUCUUUAAUAAUAAUUAAGAAUCUACGUUAACACUUGACUAAUAGUAUAUGAGUUCCCUCUGUUCUUUUUUCCAUCAUAAAGUUUAAUUUUUCUUUGUUGUUUCUAAAUUAAAACUUGUAUUCUUUUAAUUCCAAUCUUUUAACCUUUUAGGUGAACCAAGAAAAGAAAAAAUGUUGGAUGCAUAAAAGAAUAACAAGUUUUAUUCCCAAUGGUAAGAGUGACAAUUUGUUAGGGUUGGUUUUUUUUUUCCAUAAAUAUUUUUCAGAAUGUAGAAAAUUAUUUUUCUUGUUAAUUUUGCUUAUGUUGUGGGAAUUUUCUGAUAUAACAAGAGUCUACAAUCAGGCAGACGAAAACUCAAAUCGAAAUGAUCAGGAAGUAGAGAUAUGCAAUGUAGAAAUAUUUGAAGAAUGAUAUAACUGGCGUCUUAAAAUAUGGAUUGGAUGUCAACCCCUGCCACAGGGUAAUUUUCUUUUGUUGGAAUUGAUCCAUCUAUAUAUUCUGUUAUUCUAUCACUUAGUUUUAUUUUAUAUGGCCUCUUUCUUUAUACUGAUUUGUUGUGAGUUUUAGUUUUAUUUUAUAUGGCCUGUUUCUUUAUACUGAUUUGUUUGAGUUUCAACCUCUUACGUGUUCUCCUAUUCUUUGGUGGUUAAUUCCAUUAGUUUUUUUGUAUGUGCAUGUUAGUUCGUGCACAUAUCUUUUCUUCUACUUGAUUUUCCUAAAACCAAAUACACGCUAUCACUAAGAAUAAUGGUCUAUUGAGUUCUCUUCCUCUCAAUGCAACUGCAUUGCUUUGGCUAAUUUAUAUGAGCUUAAGGAAAAAGAAAAUGUAGAGUGAAUUUUUUAAAAAGAAAAUGUAGAGUGAUUUUUUUUUCUUUCUUUCUUUUCGGUGAUUACUAAGAAAGGCUAAUGAUCUAAAUUUAUGCAUUCUCUAAGUUGGUCUUUUUCAUAAGCACCAUGCCAAGUCAAAAAGGGCCACAUAAAAUAGGAUAGAUGGAGUAUAAUUUUUUUUUAAAUGUACUUCCUAUCAUAAAUAGUUAUUUUUGUAAUGAAAAAAUUAACAUAAAAUGUAUUCUUGAUAAAAAUAUUAGCCCCCCCCCCCUCCCCCUAAAAUUGAGGGCCCAAGGCAUGUGCUUACUUUUUAUAGCAUAGAGUUUACCAUGUGUUGCAAUUCUCAAGCCUUAAUUAGCUCUUGAAGAAGGUUAGCAACCACAUAUAUCUUCCUUCUCAGAAAUAUUUAUGCACAAAUAUACUUAUAUACGUGCAAGAUGUUUUAACAGUAAAUAUUGAAAUAUAGCGCAAGACUCUUCUCAUAUGAGCCAGACAUGUUUCAAUAUUCUAUGUGCUAAGAGGAUUCUUCCAUGAUUGUGAUUUUGAAUUUUGCAAUGUGAAUGACAGGAAUACUUUCUUGAAUCUAUUUCCUUAGGGCAUUGAGUGAAGGUUGUUCCUUUCAAAUUCACAUAUAACUUGGUAUAUGUUAAUUCUUUGUGGUUAUCUUCAGUAUUUUAUUUUAAAUUGACAUAUAACUUGUAAUAUGCUGGUUCUUUGUGAUUGUCUUCACUAUUUUAUUUUUACUUUUGCUUUAAGUGCUACUAUUUUUAUGAACAGUUGUUAUUUCGGAACUUUUAUUCCUUUCCUUGAGAUAUUAAAGCUGGAGUAUAUAGUUCGUGCUGAGUGAAGGAAAUUUUGCAUCUUAUCAAGACAAUUGCAAACACUCGAGGCAUCAAUGGAUUUAUGAAACGGAAUUUUAUUACUCUACAUGCAGCUCCAUUUAAGGAUACCAACUUCUAUUCUUUUGAAAAAUACAGAGAGCAUCUACUCAAAUUUACUACUAAUGAUUCAAGGCAUCACUAGAUUUUGUAAAAUGAAUUUUGUCAUAUUCUAUGAUUAGCUCUAUGUAAGUCUAUCCACUUCUAUUUUCUUAUGAUAAAUAUUGAAAAGUAUUUAGAAGAUAGUUGUCUGCAAUGUAAA
rnacentral:lncRNA from 1 species